GCCAGGAUAGCUCAGUUUGGUAGAGUAAUGGUCUGAAAAACCAUUGGCCACCAGUUCAAUCCUGGUUCCUGGCA
rnacentral:tRNA from 1 species